UUAACUGAUGAGCCAUCUCUCCAGCCCCCAACAAUUUUUUUUUUAAAGAGUGAAGUAUUCAAUAUGUUACAGACAAAACUAGGAAUCUCUUUACAAAGGAAUGUGGACAGUCGCCUGCUAGCGGCUAGUUUUUAAAGACUGUGUGCUCUUGGGGAAAGCACUGAAGAGAAAGUGGUGGUCAUUCGACAGACGGAAGCAGGAGAUGAAAUGCUAACGUCGAGCUGCCGCACAUUCUACAUUCCGCUCUCACCUCCAGCCUUGUAGUGACUGUCCCCUGGGCUCCGUCAACUUCUCUGCCUGACCUUCCUGAGUCUUUUUCCCCCCACAUUAAAAGCAGCUCCUGGAA